rnacentral:rRNA from 1 species
GAGUUUGAUCAUGGCUCAGAUUGAACGCUGGCGGCAGGCCUAACACAUGCAAGUCGAGCGGUAGAGAGAAGCUUGCUUCUCUUGAGAGCGGCGGACGGGUGAGUAAUGCCUAGGAAUCUGCCUGGUAGUGGGGGAUAACGCUCGGAAACGGACGCUAAUACCGCAUACGUCCUACGGGAGAAAGCAGGGGACCUUCGGGCCUUGCGCUAUCAGAUGAGCCUAGGUCGGAUUAGCUAGUUGGUGAGGUAAUGGCUCACCAAGGCGACGAUCCGUAACUGGUCUGAGAGGAUGAUCAGUCACACUGGAACUGAGACACGGUCCAGACUCCUACGGGAGGCAGCAGUGGGGAAUAUUGGACAAUGGGCGAAAGCCUGAUCCAGCCAUGCCGCGUGUGUGAAGAAGGUCUUCGGAUUGUAAAGCACUUUAAGUUGGAGGAAGGGCAGUAAAUUAAUACUUUGCUGUUUGACGUUACCGACAGAAUAAGCACCGGCUAACUCUGUG